AUUGAACGCUGGCGGCAGGCUUAACACAUGCAAGUCGAGCGGAGAUGAGGUGCUUGCACCUUAUCUUAGCGGCGGACGGGUGAGUAAUGCUUAGGAAUCUGCCUAUUAGUGGGGGACAACAUUCCGAAAGGAAUGCUAAUACCGCAUACGUCCUACGGGAGAAAGCAGGGGAUCUUCGGACCUUGCGCUAAUAGAUGAGCCUAAGUCGGAUUAGCUAGUUGGUGGGGUAAAGGCCUACCAAGGCGACGAUCUGUAGCGGGUCUGAGAGGAUGAUCCGCGACACUGGGACUGGAAAACGGCCCAGACUCCGACGGGAGGCAGCAGUGGGGAAUAUUGGACAAUGGGGGGAACCCUGAUCCAGCCAUGCCGCGUGUGUGAAGAAGGCCUUAUGGUUGUAAAGCACUUUAAGCGAGGAGGAGGCUACUGAGACUAAUACUCUUGGAUAGUGGACGUUACUCGCAGAAUAAGCACCGGCUAACUCUGUGCCAGCAGCCGCGGUAAAAC
rnacentral:rRNA from 1 species